rnacentral:rRNA from 1 species
CAAGGUUAACCGAAUAGGGGAGCCGUAGGGAAACCGAGUCUUAAUAGGGCGUUUAGUUGCUGGGUAUAGACCCGAAACCAGGUGAUCUAUCCAUGAGCAGGUUGAAGGUUGGGUAACACUAACUGGAGGACCGAACCCACUGUCGUUGAAAAGCCAGGGGAUGACUUGUGGAUAGGGGUGAAAGGCUAAUCAAACUUGGUGAUAGCUGGUUCUCCCCGAAAGCUAUUUAGGUAGCGCCUCGGACGAAUACCAUUGGGGGUAGAGCACUGUUUCGGCUAGGGGGUCAUCCCGACUUACCAAACCGAUGCAAACUCCGAAUACCAAUGAGUACUAUCCGGGAGACAGACUGCGGGUGCUAACGUCCGUAGUCAAGAGGAAAACAAUCCAGACCGCCAGCUAAGGCCCCAAAAUUAUAGUUAAGUGGGAAACGAUGUGGGAAGGCAUAGACAGCUAGGAGGUUGGCUUAGAAGCAGCCACCCUUUAAAGAAAGCGUAAUAGCUCACUAGUCGAGUCGGCCUGCGCGGAAGAUGUAACGGGGCUAAAACUAUAUGCCGAAGCUGCGGAUGCAUAAUUUAUUAUGCGUGGUAGGGGAGCGUUCUGUAAGCCGAUGAAGGUGGAUUGAGAAGUCUGCUGGAGGUAUCAGAAGUGCGAAUGCUGACGUGAGUAACGACAAUGCGAGUGAAAAACUCGCACGCUGAAAGACCAAGGGUUCCAGUCCAACGUUAAUCGGGGCUGGGUGAGUCGACCCCUAAGGCGAGGCCGAGAGGCGUAGUCGAUGGGAAAUUGGUUAAUAUUCCAAUACUUCUGUGUAAUGCGAUGAGAGGACGGAGAAGGUUAAGUCAGCCUGGCGUUGGUUGUCCAGGUGGAAGGUUGUAGGCAUGUAUCUUAGGCAAAUCCGGGGUACUCUAUGCUGAGAACUGAUAGCAAGCUGUACUUGUACAGUGAAGUGGCUGAUACCAUGCUUCCAGGAAAAGUCUCUAAGCUUCAGUUACACAGGAAUCGUACCCGAAACCGACACAGGUGGUCAGGUCGAGUAGACCAAAGCGCUUGAGAGAACUCUGCUGAAGGAACUAGGCAAAAUGGUACCGUAACUUCGGGAGAAGGUACGCUGUUGUCUGUGAUAGGACUUGCUCCUUGAGCGGGCGACAGCCUCAGAAACCAGGCCCCUGCAACUGUUUAUUAAAAACAUAGCACUCUGCAAACACGAAAGUGGACGUAUAGGGUGUGAUGCCUGCCCGGUGCUGGAAGGUUAAUUGAUGGGGUUAGCGUAAGCGAAGCUCUUGAUCGAAGCCCCAGUAAACGGCGGCCGUAACUAUAACGGUCCUAAGGUAGCGAAAUUCCUUGUCGGGUAAGUUCCGACCUGCACGAAUGGCAUAAUGAUGGGGGCGCUGUCUCCAGCAGAGACUCAGUGAAAUCGAAUUCGCCGUGAAGAUGCGGUGUACCCGCGGCUAGACGGAAAGACCCCGUGAACCUUUACUGCAGCUUGACAUUGAACUUUGAUCUUACUUGUGUAGGAUAGGUGGGAGGCUUUGAAGUCGCGACGCUAGUUGCGAUGGAGCCGUCCUUGAAAUACCACCCUGGUAAUAUUGAGGUUCUAACUCUGUCCCGUUAUCCGGGACGAGGACCAUGUCUGGUGGGUAGUUUGACUGGGGCGGUCUCCUCCUAAAGAGUAACGGAGGAGUACGAAGGUGCGCUCAGCGUGGUCGGAAAUCACGCGUAGAGUAUAAAGGCAAAAGCGCGCUUAACUGCGAGACCCACAAGUCGAGCAGGUACGAAAGUAGGUCUUAGUGAUCCGGUGGUUCUGUAUGGAAGGGCCAUCGCUCAACGGAUAAAAGGUACUCUGGGGAUAACAGGCUGAUACCGCCCAAGAGUUCAUAUCGACGGCGGUGUUUGGCACCUCGAUGUCGGCUCAUCUCAUCCUGGGGCUGAAGCAGGUCCCAAGGGUAUGGCUGUUCGCCAUUUAAAGAGGUACGCGAGCUGGGUUUAGAACGUCGUGAGACAGUUCGGUCCCUAUCUACCGUGGGCGUUGGAAAUUUGAGAGGAUCUGCUCCUAGUACGAGAGGACCAGAGUGGACGAACCUCUGGUGUACCGGUUGUCACGCCAGUGGCAUCGCCGGGUAGCUAUGUUCGGAAGGGAUAACCGCUGAAAGCAUCUAAGCGGGAAGCCUACCUCAAGAUAAGAUUUCCCCGAGACUUUAUGUCUCCUAAAGAGCCGUUGAAGACUACGACGUUGAUAGGUUGGAUGUGGAAGCAUAGUGAUAUGUGAAGCUGACCAAUACUAAUUGCUCGUGAGGCUUGACUAU